rnacentral:rRNA from 1 species
CACUAUUAGCUUAUUACUAAUAGCAUUUCCUGCUCCAUGAUUUAAAUAGCCGCUUAUUAGUGCUAAGGUAGCAUAAUAAUUUGUUUCUUAAUUAGAAAAUAGAAUGAAAGGAAUAACGUUUAUAUUCUAUGUUCAAAUUAAUAUUAAAAAUUAUAAAAAAUGUAAAAAUUCAUUUAUUAUAUAGAAGGACGACAAGACCCUAUAGAACUUAUCUUAAAGAUUAACUGGGGAAGUACAAUAAUAAAAAUUUAUCAUAACAUUUUAUAUUUAAGUUUAAUAAAAUUUCAUAAAGUUACCUUAGGGAUAACAGCGCUAUUUAUAUUUAAAGUACUUAUAAUAAUAUAAUAAUACGACCUCGAUGUUGAAUAAUAAAUCUAGUAUAAGCAUAAUUAUUACUAAGAGAGUCUGUUCGACUCUUAAUAUAUUACA